rnacentral:tRNA from 1 species
GGGGGUGUAGUGUCAACGGUUAGCACGAAGGUCUCCAAAACCUUUUGUCUGGGUUCGAAUCCUAGCACCCCUG